CAGCACGGCCCCGGGCAGCACGGCCCCGGGCAGCACGGCCCCGGGCAGCACGGCCCCGGGCUGUGGGACAGAUCCUGCAGCAGAUCCUGCACCCCCAUCUAGCGGCCUCCGCCGUCCCUGUGACACCAAGGGAAGGAGGGAAAACCCCGUGAGGACACCGGGGGCUUGCAAGAAAACCACCAGCUGCACAAGGGGGUUUUUUCAUUCCGGACACAAGGGAUGCUGUCCCAAGUUUCCCAAUCAAGCUAUCUCUCUUGUGGGAAGGAUUUCUGAGAGUUUCUGAAGAUAGCAUCGGAAACAUAUGCUGCAGACAGACAGGAGACAGAGACUAAGCAAGUACUGGAAGCCCAGUUUUAACACAACCCCCUCACCAAACACAUAAUGUUAUGCUGUAAGAAAAGCAGAUUGCAAAGACUUCCCAUUGACUUAAGCUAUGUUAGUAGGAGAAGAAAAUUAUUGUAUACACUGGAUAAGACUGAGUGAAAAAGAGACAGAGCUGGAAAUGGUAUUACAGUAAUUCUGCAUUUAACUCUUCUCAUUUCUUAGAAAUCUUGUGUCGGUUUCCUACCUUCAUUUUAUAUAAAAUUUUGUUUUCAGAACAAGACUUACAGUUCCUCAGCAAAAUGCCACAUUAACACAAUUGUGGUCAAGUUCACCUUCACCAGGACACUGGUGAUGUGUCUUCCACCUUCACUUUGGUUUUUGUUCCUGGAUGUGGUUUAUCUGUUAAACCACUACUGUCGCUCAGCUCGAGCGCGCCUGCAGCAGCUCAUCCCCAGAUGCUUCUGAGAAGUUCACACCUGGGUUCUGCGAGAGACACUCACUACAGCAGUGGGAGUUACCUUCAACACAAGCUGAGUGAACACGCCCUGAAUGCCGGUCAGCAGCUUUCCAUCCUGUGGGGGGCCACUGCCAGCCUCCCUGGAAACACUCCCCAAGAGAACCAGCGUGUGCAGCUUGUCACACAUCUCAGAGCCAGAUUCCGUGCACAUGAUUAUCCAGAGAGGACUGGUAAACUCCAGGAGUAUGACUAGCACAGACCUCAGCAAGUCCAAGGUUUUGUCACAGAACAUGUCCUAAUCAGAAGGGUGGUGGUUCCAUAGGCCUGUGAGCCAAUCCUUAGGCAUGCAGGGUGCGAGGGCUCAGCUCGUUCCUCCUGUCCUUUCAACAUGGUCUCAGCUCAGUUACUGUGCAGUAACACAAGGAGUCAGUUCAAGAUGCUGACCUAGCUGAGCAAGCUUCCUUUGCUAAGGUAGUUUAUGGCUGGCUCAGAUGCUCAGUUUGGUUCACUGCAGAGUCCCAUGGCUGCAAUGCUGACAAUAAAAGGGAUGGGUGGGGAUGAGUGGAGGAGUGAGGAUGAGACUAGGCAGGUUACACUCAAGAAUCUCCAUCCAUGGCCCCACUCCGAGCAGAUGCUGUGCCAAGAGGCAUGCUGGUGGCCACUGUGAAUUUAAAAGGACUCCAGACACGGACACAGUUUUCAGAAAUAAACCGUUUCUUUUAAUUGGCAAGUAGAACACACAUUACAAGUCAUUAGUAUUUUAUAAACAAUAUUAAGUUACAAAUACAUGUUAAAAAUUGCAGUUCAUGGCAGCUAAAAGCUUGGAGUCCUAAAUGCAUCUUUGCAAUGCUUCAUUACUUCCCUUUCCCCAGUCUGCUGGGUGAAGAUGAAUAAAAGAUCAUUUAUCAUCUACUAGAAAGUGGUCUACUAUAUAUUUGAACAAAACCAAAACUUAAUUUCUAAGAUCACUAACAAACAGAGGCAUUCAAAAUACUUUAGCCAUCUUAAAUCAUGUCAGAUGCAAUGAGGACACAGUUAAGAAUUAUUCUUUAACACUUGAACACAGACAUCUUCACAUUAAACUGAUCAAUGCUUUCUGAUCCAACUCAGCUUAAAAUCUGUACUAGCUUCUACCCCACAGAGGCCUAACAUCCACCAUGCAGGCUUCCAAGCCUU